rnacentral:lncRNA from 1 species
GUUGAUGGAAGUAGGAAUGGUUUCCAUGGUGGAAUUGAAGUGAUGAUGAGAGAAAAUUUGUUUGUUGUGUUGUUUGAAGAGUUAUUGUUAUCUUACCCUCUGUCUUGACUUCACUUUUCUUCUCUAAACUCGGAUCGGGAUUGAGUGACAUUGACGCGGGAAAGGCAUCAGACUUUCAGCCAACUUCAUCCAUCAGAUCAAUCUAGUGCAUCAUAUUAAGCCACGUGUCUAAUCCUUCAUACCAAAAUCCAAAACUGAAAAUCAAAACAAAAAAUCCGCCACCUUCCGAUAAUCUACGGUUUGUUUGGUUUCAUUUUCUUCUGUAAAAUAGAAAAGUUUUCUUCGAUUAAAAUCCACAUCUCCAUCUCAUUCCUCUUCUACUCUAUUUCACGACACAAUGAUUCUUGUGGUACAGAGUUCAAUGACCAGUUAUGUGAAAGGGAACUUGUGUUGAAUCACAACCUUUGUUUCAUUGUCUGCCAUUGAGUCCAAAUUCAUAACUGAACUUUAAUUACUAAUUCAUAAAAAAAACCAAUACAAUGAUUCCAUAAAAAAAU